rnacentral:sRNA from 1 species
GUCGCUGCAAAUUCAGCGACUCGGGCUUGGCGGUCCGGAACGAAGGCGCAAAGCGCCCCACAAUCACCCUCGCAGGCGCUUUUUUU